rnacentral:rRNA from 1 species
UACAGAGGUCCCAAGCGUUGUUCGGAUUCAUUGGGCGUAAAGGGUGCGUAGGUGGCGCGCUAAGUCAGGUGUGAAAUUUCGGAGCUUAACUCCGAAACUGCAUUUGAUACUGGCGUGCUUGAGGACUGGAGAGGAGACUGGAAUUUACGGUGUAGCAGUGAAAUGCGUAGAGAUCGUAAGGAAGACCAGUGGCGAAGGCGGGUCUCUGGACAGUUCCUGACACUGAGGCACGAAGGCCGGGGAGCAAACGGG